AAAAAGGCAAACCCUGGGUUUCCGUGUCCAACUUUGACUGUCCGUCUUAUAUGAAUUUUUUUUAUAAUUCGUAUUUUUAUUUUUGUUAGAUGAUAAAACAUGAUUAAUAUUUUAUGCGUGACUUGUCUUUUUAAUUUUUUUCAUAAUUUUUUUUAAAUAAGACGGACGGUCAAACAUUGGGCACGGAAACCAGGGUUUGUCUUUUU
rfam:Oryza sativa (indica cultivar-group) chromosome 3, whole genome shotgun sequence.